rnacentral:misc_RNA from 1 species
UGCUGUCAUGCUUGACACCAAGGGUCCUGAGAUUCGUACUGGUUUCUUAACAGAUGGAAAACCGAUUCAGCUUAAGGAAGGUCAAGAAAUCACUGUAUCCACAGACUAUACUAUAAAAGGAAAUGAAGAAAUGAUCUCAAUGAGCUAUAAGAAGUUGGUAGUGGACUUGAAGCCCGGCAAUACCAUCUUGUGUGCAGAUGGUACCAUAACCCUUACUGUUUUGUCAUGUGAUCCACCGUCUGGAACGGUGAGAUGUCGCUGCGAGAAUACUGCCACCUUAGGAGAGAGGAAGAAUGUAAACCUUCCAGGUGUGGUUGUGGACCUUCCAACACUUACAGAGAAGGAUAAAGAAGAUAUACUAGAGUGGGGUGUUCCUAACAACAUUGAUAUGAUAGCGCUUUCGUUUGUGCGUAAGGGUUCAGAUCUUGUCAAUGUUCGCAAGGUUCUUGGUCCACAUGCCAAGCGCAUUCAACUAAUGUCAAAGGUUGAAAACCAAGAA